rnacentral:lncRNA from 1 species
UUGCCUUUUGCAUAUCUACAGUCUAUUACAUGUUCUUUUUGGCAUACUACAUAAUAUUCGUCUUUUUUCCUAGUAAAAUAAUUUUUUAUUGUUGGUAUUUUAAAUAUUUUUUCUACACUUAAAUCUAAUUCUUUCCUUUUAUUUCAUCAAAUAUGUUAUUGUCAAAUAUUAUUUUUUGUUUCGUUCCUUCAUCAUUUAAAUACUCUUCCUUUGUUAUUAUUUUUAUAUCUU